rnacentral:rRNA from 1 species
UACAGAGGUCUCAAGCGUUGUUCGGAUUCAUUGGGCGUAAAGGGUGCGUAGGCGGCGCGGUAAGUCGGGUGUGAAAUCUCGGGGCUUAACUCCGAAACUGCAUUCGAUACUGCCGUGCUUGAGGACUGGAGAGGAGACUGGAAAUUUACGGUGUAGCGGUGAAAUGCGUAGAUAUCGUAAGGAAGACCAGUGGCGAAGGCGGGUCUCUGGACAGUUCCUGACGCUGAGGCACGAAGGUCAGGGGAGCAAACGGG